GGUUAAGAACACUAGCUGAUCUUCCAGGGGUCCUGAGUUCAAUUCCCAUCGAUCACAUGGUGGCUCACAACCAUCUCUAAUAAGAUCUGGUGCCCUCUUCUGGUCUGCAGGGAUACAUGCAGGCAGAACACUGUAUACAUAAUAAAUAAAUAAAUCUUUAAAAAAGAAAGAAUAGAACAGAAAAGAAAAUUUGUAAACAUCUUAUUAUCUUGGGGCUGGAGGGAUGUCUCAGCAGUUAAGAGCACUGGCUGCUCUUCCAGAGGACCUGGGUUCAAUUACCAGUACUCACAUGGCAGCUCAUAACCAUUUGUAACUCUAUUCCUGGACCUCUGAUGGUUCCAGGCACACACAUAGUGCACAGACAUACAUGCAGAACAAACACCAAUACAUAUAAAAUAACUUUUCACAAGACCUUAUCAGCUCAUUUUUUCUUAUGGAAUAGGUAGGGCCUGGUAGUUUUCUAUCAAUUCAAAGCACAAGGAUGGCGAGGCUCUGCUGAAGCCAGCUACCCACCUAUGUAGGAAAGGCAGACCAGAGUGGGCUGUGCAGAUGGGGAUUGGGCCUGUUUAUGAGACUGAGCUGAUCAGUUUCAUGCAGCUGCUGGACAUACAGAGGUCUGGGGGUUGACAUGGCUCUGGCUGGAAGUAUUACCAACGCAAAGGGGCCAAAUUUCUGGGACUAAUUCUUCCCUGAAACCAGACCUUGACUAGGGAAUUUUUGAUCACAUGCAUCUUCAGAAAGUGACUUCGGAGCACAGGCUUACAGGAUUAAACUCAAGGCCAUCAGACACGAUGGAAACUCGCUAACAAAACACAGGCACAGGGACAUAGUAGCCUCAAGAUAUGAAAGAAGAUUCUAGAGGCAAGAAAGAGUGCCCACUCUUGAGGAAGAACCUUCACUAUGUUUCUCAGGACUCCACUAAAGCCCUUCCUAGACCCCCCCCCCCACUACAUAUUCUGUGAGAGAUGGCUCCAACACCCAUCUUUGCCCCUCAGCUGGACCUGGACCUGCCUCUACCUUGUCACUUACCACAGUCACCUCCAAGGAAUACCAAAUCUCUCAGUAGCAGGGCCUGAGUUUCAUAAAUAUUUGAGAAAUGGAUAGACUCAUCACGGGGGCUUCUUUUGAGUCUGGCUUAGUCAUUAUCAUGUUAAGCAUCCUCAUGCCCUCCACUGAAACAUUGUCUUGGUGUGUCCAUUUGAUGAAAUGCCAGGGCAGCGGGCCGAGUGUAGAACCUCCAUGUUCUGUGUCAUGAGGAGGAGGGAGAGCUGGAGCCAGGGCGACACCCUCAAACCCAGGGCUUCAUGGCUUCCUUCCACCCUGUUGCUAUUAGCCUACCUGUAGACUUGGUGGGUAAGACCUAUGCCAGCUGAGAAAGGGCCGCUUUAUCUUCCUGCUUGAUGAGACUCAGAAAACAGCUACCCAAGGUAAGCUGGCUAUCAAGCUCAACCUUGAACACAGCGAGCGCUCCCCCACUCUUUCGACAAGCUGACAUGCUGGCCAGCGAGAGCUUGGCUCCUGCUUUCUCACCCUCCUGCAUGGUGAGCAAGGAGGUCUCAGGCUGUCUUAUGUUGCUGCCUCAGUGGGUAUGUGGGCAGAUAACUGUGUUUCUGUGUAAACAUCAUUCAUUUGUCUCUCCUUUCCCCCAAAGGAAGACACAAGUCAACAAGCCGGGAAAACGGGGAAGAGCCCAUGCUUUGCCCCAUUGCCCAACAACACUACUGCCCAGGAACGUGGACAGCUUCCUCCACGAAGAGUAGAUGUAACUGAGUGAUGGAAAGGCAAUGUUUACGUCCGACAUUCCUUGUGGGACCUCCUCCCAGGAAUGCAUGGAGACCUGAGAUCCUACGUCCAGAGGAAAAGUGGAAGGCCUUGGGAAGGCGUCUCCAGCAUUGUUCCUCUGCAAACACAGGAAGAUGGGCUUCCUCCAGCUUUGUGGUGCUCUCAUCUGACCCCUCCCCCAGCCUGGGAGAGGGGGGCCACCGAGGAGUAGGUGGUCAUGGAAAAUAAACACCCACCUCUGCUCUGCUGA